rnacentral:rRNA from 1 species
UGGUAAGGUAACGGCUUACCAAGACGAUGAUGGGUAGGGGUCCUGAGAGGGAGAUCCCCCACACUGGUACUGAGACACGGACCAGACUCCUACGGGAGGCAGCAGUGAGGAAUAUUGGACAAUGGGCGCAAGCCUGAUCCAGCCAUGCCGCGUGCAGGAAGACGGCCCUAUGGGUUGUAAACUGCUUUUAUACAGGAAGAAACACUCCCUCGUGAGGGAGCUUGACGGUACUGUAGGAAUAAGGAUCGGCUAACUCCGUGCCAGCAGCCGCGGUAAUACGGAGGAUCCAAGCGUUAUCCGGAAUCAUUGGGUUUAAAGGGUCCGUAGGCGGCCUUAUAAGUCAGUGGUGAAAUCUCCUAGCUCAACUAGGAAACUGCCAUUGAUACUGUAGGGCUUGAAUUUUUGUGAAGUAACUAGAAUAUGUAGUGUAGCGGUGAAAUGCUUAGAUAUUACAUGG